UACGGAGGGUGCGAGCGUUGUCCGGAAUCACUGGGCGUAAAGGGCGCGUAGGCGGCUCAUGAAGGCUGUGGUGAAAGUCCGGGGCUCAACCUCGGAUCGGCCGUGGCGACUCGUGGGCUGGAGCACUGUAGAGGCGGGUGGAAUUCCGGGUGUAGCGGUGGAAUGCGUAGAGAUCCGGAAGAACACCAGUGGCGAAGGCAGUGUCCUGGGGAGUACCUGACGCUCAGGUGCGAAAGCCAGGGGAGCGAACGGG
rnacentral:rRNA from 1 species